rnacentral:rRNA from 1 species
CUACGUGCCAGCAGCCGCGGUAAUACGUAGGUCCCGAGCGUUGUCCGGAUUUAUUGGGCGUAAAGCGAGCGCAGGCGGUUAGAUAAGUCUGAAGUUAAAGGCUGUGGCUUAACCAUAGUACGCUUUGGAAACUGUUUAACUUGAGUGCAAGAGGGGAGAGUGGAAUUCCAUGUGUAGCGGUGAAAUGCGUAGAUAUAUGGAGGAACACCGGUGGCGAAAGCGGCUCUCUGGCUUGUAACUGACGCUGAGGCUCGAAAGCGUGGGGAGCGAACAGGAUUAGAUACCCUGGUAGUCCAUGCCGUAAACGUUGGGCACUAGGUGUGGGGGACAUUCCACGUUUUCCGCGCCGUAGCUAACGCAUUAAGUGCCCCGCCUGGGGAGUACGGCCGCAAGGCUAAAACUCAAAGAAAUUGACGGGGGCCCGCACAAGCGGCGGAGCAUGCGGAUUAAUUCGAUGCAACGCGAAGAACCUUACCAAGGCUUGACAU